CGUUCCUUGAAGCAUCACAGCAGAUUGACGAUGGCAAGCUUUUACUGUAGCUGCCUGGUUCAAGAAAGAUUGGACUCUUUGACUGAUGAUUCCCACACUUUAUUCACUUGUCCGUCAUCACGAUUAAAAGCACCGUCGGACACCAUAUUCGUUGAGAAUCAACGUAAAAGCUUGUACAAAAGAAAACAAAUACCGAAAAAUGAAUAAAAAUCCAUCAAAACCAAAUAAAGUAAGAUUGACUUACACAUAUUAUACAAAGCAAAACAAUAAGUAAUCUUAAUACAAAUAAUAUAAAUCCAAACAAAGAUAACAGGAAGUCCAUAAUCAUACCUUGUUCUCCAUUCAAACCAGGAGCUAAAUCCUUUUAAACACCUUGCAAACCGUAAGCCUUUGACACCAUGACCAUAUGUGUAUGGGUCUCAAUCAUAUUGAAAUGUUUGAACCGUAUGCGCGUUAUAUCCGCUCACAUGAGUGAACUUCAAAAUAAAAGACCUCCGUUACCACAACACAAAUGAGACUCAAAAUUAAAUACCAUACAAAAAUUAACAAAACUAAAUCAUUCAAGAACUAUAUUAUUUGCAUAUUUUUAAAGCAAACUACAUAGUUCUUAACACCAUGAUACAUAGUUUUGUGUAACAUUUGCUAAAGUAGCAGAAAUAAAAUCUGAAUGGAAAUUAAUUAUCUAUAAAUGUGUCAGGAUAUAGGCAAAGAGGCAGAGGUAAGUGAAUCCAAACACAGCUUUAUUUUAGGUGGCAAGAGUGUUCAAUCAGUUCGGGUGCAGAUAUGGUGAAGAUCACUCGGUGCAGGACAGGCAACAGGUAAGCACAAACACUUCGGGAAUGUGGGCAUCGGGGAGUAAUAGUUCAGUGAUACAAAUCCUCUCUUUAGGGGCAGUCACUAGCAAACAGGUUCGGAAGACUCACUGGCGGAUCGGAGGGAUAUAGGGGAACAGGCAAUAUGCACCGGAAUCCUGGAGAUAAUAGAAUGAGGACACAGGGGUUAGAGAUCUUCAGCAUUUGUAGAUGUUCCAUUGGCUGUGUCGGUUCUCUGGUGAUACUCACUGGAAAAAAAAAAUAUCUGUUUACUGACACCAAAUUAUUACGGAUUGAGGACAGAGCAGUAUCAAGACCAGUGGCAAGAGGUGACGACCCAAUGACGGGUAAGACUUGACAAUGGCAUAAAAGGUUAAGCAACCAAAGCAGGGGCUUCACCGCCCUGGAGACCUGACCAAGAAGGUUUGAAAGGGUUUUAAGGAAGUGGAUGAAUGCUCUUAGAUCAGAAGCAUCAACAGGGAGGUCUAGAAAAGGCCUGCCAAAAAAAAAAUAAUAAUUUUAAGUUCCACUGAACCCGACUGCAUUUUAAGCAUUCUGUCACUGUGUUGUCAGGGGAUCAUACCCUGUGUAGAGGAUUAUUUAUAGAUUGGUUUUGGGGGUAAAGUUUUGAACCGUUGCAGACAAAGGAGUGCUUGACUAUUUAUAGAAGUAUUAAACAAACAUGGGAAUGUUUGAUAAUGAAUUUAGAUUGGAAGAUGAUUUAUUACUUUUACUUAUGCUUUAAUUGAACUCAUGUACAUUUUAAAAGUAAUGAGGAAUGGAAAAGAUACAUGGUGGUGACUAAAGAUUAAGAUUGCUUGUCUUGUUUGUUUGUAACAAUAUAAAUGGAAUUUAUUAAGAAAUAGGGUGCAGGGUUGGCUACAAUUGGUAUAAUAAUUGAAACAACAAUUUGUGAGAGGGGAAUAAUAUAAUAUUGUCUGUUACCAUUGAUUAAAUAAAAAACCAGAUGAAGUACUGAUCAAUGUAAAUGGUCCAAUGCAACAGAAAGACCAAACUGGGAGGAAAUUGAUUCCUCCAAUGAUAUGUUAUAUAUUUGAUCAUUCUUUUAUUGAUUUAAUACUCUGAAUUACUCUGAUGUAGUCUGAAACUAUGAAAAACAGCUUAGCUUGCAGGGAAAAUUAAUUCAUGUGAUACAGACAUUGAGAGACCUUGGGAAACAGGAGGAAAUGAAAUGUAUGUGAUAAGUGAAUGAGUAGGGAGUUUUAAGAUAAGGAACACCUGGAGGAGGCAGAGGACCCAUGUGUUAUUUAGUGCUAGAAAUGAGAUGCAACAAAUGUAUGUGAGUGUGCCCACAUUUACUAGCUUACAAGAAAGUGUGUAGCAAAUGACUGUAAUAAGGGAAAUCAUUUAAUAUAUUAAUCAAAUGAAUGCAGAAAGUAAUGAUUUUUAGUUAAUAUAAAACAUGUAACCAUAUGAGGUGAUUACAGUGUCCUUUAUGCAUAUAAAAUGAAAUAGUCAUGCUGUUGCCAUCAUUGAAGCAAGUUAGGACAGGAUGACCCGCUGAAGGAGAGAAGGUGGAAAGCAAUUGCUGCCUACAAUACCAAUGAAUAAGACAUAUUAAUGUGGAUGUUAUUACUGACAUACUUGGGACAAGUGUUGCCCCCAAUGACUGGGCCUACCAGAGAAACGUCCCAAGAAGGACCAGGAUCACCAGAUGAACAAUUCUAAGAAAGCAUACUGCAGAGUGGGUUCCCUACAAUCAGCCUUGGGGAUCUUGGUUGGCCUUUCCAAUGAAGCUGACCUAAAACUAAAUACUCCAGAAAGUGAAUUCAGAAAGUACAGAGCACUUGACGGACUGUAUUGAAGUAACUAUGAAUAUGGACUUCCCAACGAUGAAUUCGAGGCAAGAUUCAGACAAAGAAGAGCAGCAAGCACAAAACCAAGAACCCGAGGAAGAAGAAGAUCAGCAGGAACCGGCUAGAGAAUCUGAAGAAAGAGAAGAGGAAGUAGAAGAAGGACAAAAGCAAGUAGGGGAAGAGCACGCUGCGGCAGAAAGAGGGAUUGAAGUAAGUGCCGCAGUAGAGCAGGAAAGCAUAGAAAGUGAGACGGAAGUACACGUCACAGAGGAACAGGACCAGGAAGGUGAAGAAGGAGAAAGACAAGAAGAAAGUGAUCGUCCUGCUUGAAACAGAUACAGAAGCAACUGAAGGAAAUGAAACAGGCCAACAAGCGCAGUCGUUCGAUGAAGCGUUGUGGGACAUGGAGGAAAGAAUGGAAGCUCAAGGAGGUAUUAGUGUGGAUGAUGCUGUUACUAACAUAUUUGGGACAGGUAUUGCCUCCCAUACAGGGCCUACCGGAGAGGAGAUCCAGGAAGGCCCAGACUCUCCAGGCGAAGGACCAUCACAACGACCAUGGUAUGAUGAAUUUCCUACAAUUGACAUCUCAGACCUUCAAUAUUAUUCCCCCGAAUGAGCAGAGACUAGAUAACAUAGCAUGAGAAAUCAGAAAGAAGCGAACGCCUGGAUCACUAAACAAAGGUGAAUGCGAAAAGCAAAGAAUCUGGAUAAGCAAUUUGGCCAAGCAGAACAAACCGAAUAAUCCGCCUCAAAAGACACCUGACAAAAUAAUCACCCAAAGACUGAAAAAGCCAAUACAUUUUGAAAAUGAUAUGGAACCCAUAGAGUCAGCAGGAACAGAGGAACUAUUAGAACAAGAAAAUCAAAAUGACUGGUAUAAAUGGGCCAGAUAUACAGCUAAGCAAGCAAAAAUGACAAACUGUGUAAUGUGCUCGCCCUCUCCAUUGAAAAAAUUGUUCUGCCCAGCAGCAUAUUUGGCAUUCUUGGGUCAUCCGGAAUAUGAUAAAUAUUAUAAGAUGAUAGGGUGGGGAGAUGAAUGAAGAAAAUUAGACGUACGUCUGGAUAAUGAGAAAAAAGAAAGCCCAUUAUCAUAUACAAUAAAUCGACAACUGGAGUAUGAAUGUUUUAACAAAACUAAAGGAAAACAAAUGUUGGACUAUUUAAGGGCAAUUGCACAGAAAUAUGGUGUAAUACUUCCCAAGGAAGGAGGACAGGAAACAGGUCUUCACCACAAGUGCUACCACCGGGAACAGGGCUAGAAGCUAGGUACUGUACCAUUGGGCCAGGAUUGGAUGAACUUGAUGAGAUUUACUGAGAAGCAAUCCAGAAACAACACUGGAAUUUAAGGGGAAUUUUAUUUUUGAACACUUUUCUCAUGUUUUUGAUGGUAAGGGAGAUAACAUGACUAUUGUACUUUCAUUUUACAUAACAGAAUAGAUAGCAACUCAAGAAAGGAGUUAGAGGGUGUUUUGUUUGUUAUUUUUGACAUAUUCCCCUAUUACUCUCAAUGUAACCAAUUAAUUAUAAUGAUUAAUGGAGUAUAUCUUUAUUACAAUGUACCUAAUCAAAUAGAUGUAGUAUUGCUGAUGAUUAUGUUUAAGAAAAAUAUGGAUGUGAAAUACUUGCCAAGAGAAGACAUGUGAGGAACAUAUGUGAAGAAAGGAGCGACGAGCACCUCAGUGCUUGGCUGCAAGAGCAAAUAGACUCAACUGGUGGUUUAAAAACCCGCUGUCUGCUCCAACACACCACCAGAUAGCGCUCCAGGCUACCGGAAUUGUCUGUGAGUUCCUCUGGCAACGAAGGAUGAAUAUUACUAUGUUACUUUUACUAGUGUUUUGUUAAGCAUAUAUAUAUAUAUAUAUAUAUUCUACUUAAUGGAUAAUCAAUUGUACUCUACAUCAUGCAAUGCUUCACAUUUGCAUGCACAUGCUUAUUACAAAUGAGUUGAUUUUUGUUACCCACCCCCAGGAACAGUGCUAGCUAGAGGACUGGGAUCUUUUACUCCUUCCUAGCCAAGUGUGGAGGGAGAGGUUUGGUCCCAAGUUCUGCAGAGUGCAGCCCCAUAAAGAUGGCAUUGGAUAGUGGAAUGAGUGGCCUACUUUGGCUACAUGAUGAAAUGGGACAGGCUGGCUUGUGUGACUGCACUCUGGGUUGAGAGAAAUAGAGUGUGAGACUUUUAUAAGGCUCAGAGGUGGGAGUAUAUAGUAUAUUUUUCAAUAAUCUAGUAUGUUUUUAUAUAUUUUCAAUAUUCUAGUAUAUUUUUAUAUAUCAAAAUACUUAUAUGAGUUUCCAGGCCUUUGUGUGACCCAGGAGAGAGCAUAUGAGGUUACUAAAAGUGUUGAUGCUGCAGAGAACACAAAGAAUGGUAUAUAACCUUGAAAAACAGGUGUAUUUCUUCAAAAACAAAAUGUGUUUCUGUUAAUCAAUAGUAUUCUGAUGUGAGUCCUUGGUGUGUUUCCUUUGUGCUGGCACGCAUCUUUGCAGCUGUGGUGUGCCUCAGUAAAAUACAGGAGGCAUUUCCUACAAAGAUACUUUUAAUCAGUUAUUAUAUGAAUGGUGUCUUGUUCUAAUGAGCUGAAUGUAUGAUAUCUUUGCAGCUGGUGUUUUCUUUCAAAUAAUAAAGUGUAUGAGCAAGCAAGGCUGUCUCAUUGUGGGAAUGCGCUGAAAAUGUAGGAUAAAGAUAAAAAGUAUGUGAUGAGGACAUGGCUGUUUACGCAGGUGUUUCUAGGAGUUGAUGUACUCUGUCCAUGAACUGUAACAUGAGGUCAAGAUAUGAGAGGCUACCAAAGAUACAUGUUUCUUUUUCUUUUUAAUAGAUAGGCGAGGGAUCUCCCACCAAUAUUUAAUUAACAAAGGACGUAGAACAUUGGAGGGAAAGAAACAAGGCAGUGACCUUGUUAGUCAGAGAUGGUGGGUAACAAGAUAACAAAAAGGUAUAUAACUGAGAACUUAGAAAAAUGAGUCAGAACGGACAGCUGACCGGUCUCAUGUUUGUUGGUGUUCAAUAAACUACAACUUUGGCAU